ACGAGUAGUGGUCACUUUUAUUGAGACCUAAAGCGUUCGUAGCCGGUUUUGUAAAUCUUCAGAUAAAGCCUGAAGCUUAACUCCAGAAAGUCUGAAGAGACUGCAAGACUUGAGAUCGGGUGAGGUUAAACGUACUUUCAGGGUAGGGGUAAAAUCCUGUAAUCCCGGAAGGACGACCAGUGGCGAAGGCGUUUAACUAGAACGAAUCUGACGGUAAGGAACGAAGGCUAGGGUAGCAAACCGGAUUAGAUACCCGGGUAGUCCUAGCUGUAAACAUUGCCCAUUUGAUGUUGCUUUUCCGUUGAGGGAAGGCAGUGUCGGAGCGAAGGUGUUAAAUGGGCCGCUUGGGAAGUAUGGUCGCAAGACUGAAACUUAAAGGAAUUGGCGGGGGAGCACCGCAACGGGAGGAAUGUGCGGUUUAAUUGGAUUCAACGCCGGAAAACUCACCGGGAACGACCUGUGCAUGAGAGUCAACCUGACGAGCUUACUCGAUAGCAAGAGAGGUGGUGCAUGGCCGUCGUCAGCUCGUACCGUAGGGCGUUCACUUAAGUGUGAUAACGAGCGAGACCCACAUC
rnacentral:rRNA from 1 species